rnacentral:rRNA from 1 species
UACGUAGGGGGCGAGCGUUGUCCGGAGUUACUGGGCGUAAAGGGCAUGCAGGCGGUCGGACGCGUUUUGUGUGACAGCGGGUGGCUCAACUACCCGAGCAUGCGAAAGACGGUCGGUCUUGAGGACUCGAGAGGGACACGGAAUUCCGGGUGGAGUGGUGAAAUGCGUAGAGAUCCGGAGGAACACCGAAGGCGAAGGCAGUGUCCUGGCGAGUGACUGACGCUGAGGUGCGAAAGCCAGGGGAGCGAACGGG